rnacentral:lncRNA from 1 species
ACACACACACACACACACACAAACACACACACACACACACACACACACACAGGGUCUCAUGUAACCCAGGCUGGUCUUGAGCUCUUUUACUGUUUUUCAUGACAAUUUUUCUGUAGCUUUGGAGCCUGUCCUGGAACUUGCACAGUAGACCAGGCUCCAAAGCCACACAGAGAAACCCUGUCUCAAAAGACAAACAAACAACAACAACAAACACCCCAACAACAGAGAAAAAAAGAAAAUGAAAAAAGAAAGAAAACAAACAAACAAACCAAACCAGAGAUGGCUCAGUGGUUAAGAGCUCUUGCUGUCACAUCUGAUGACCUGAGCCGGACCCUGAAUCCACAGAGCGGUGAGAACACUGGCUGCUGACUUUCUCUCCUGUCCUGCAUUGGUGUACUAUAGCACACAUGCCACACACAUAAAUAAACCAGUCUAAAAACGGAAGAACUGUCAAUAGGUAAAUACAAGAAGCCAGGCCAGGCCAGGCAGUGGUGGCAUUGCACGCCUUUAAUCCCAGCACUCGGGAGGGAGGCAGAGGGGUGCGCCACCAAUGCCCGGCUUAGGAUAUUUCUUAAUGAUUAAUGAGAAAGGACCACUGUGGGUGGUGCCGUCCCUGGGCUGGUGGCCCUGGGUUCUGUAAGAAAGCAGACUGAGCAAGCCAGCAAGCAGCAUCCUUUCGUGGCCUCUGCGUCAGCUCCCGCCUCCGGGAUCCUGCCUUGUUUGAGUUCCUGUCCUGAUUUCCUUCAGUGGUGAAUGACAAUACAGAACUGUAAGCCAAAUAAAACACUUUCCUCCCCAGUUUCGUCACAGCUAUAGAAACCCUAACUAAGUCAAGUUGGCACUAUGGGGCAGGGUACUGCUGCCACAGCCCUGACUCGUGCUGAUUUGGAAAUGUCAAAGGGAAUGCAGAAGAUGGAGGCCUGGCUUGCGAAGUUUCCGAGGGAAGCUGACUCUAUUGGAGUCAGGUGUUGGUGGCUCCAACGUUUGGGAGAAAGAGGCAGG